rnacentral:rRNA from 1 species
CCUACGGGAGGCAGCAGUGAGGAAUAUUGGUCAAUGGACGAGAGUCUGAACCAGCCAAGUAGCGUGAAGGAUGACUGCCCUAUGGGUUGUAAACUUCUUUUAUAAAGGAAUAAAACGAGGCACGUGUGCCUUUUUUCAUGUACUUUAUGAAUAAGGAUCGGCUAACUCCGUGCCAGCAGCCGCGGUAAUACGGAGGAUCCGAGCGUUAUCAGGAUUUAUUGGGUUUAAAGGGAGCGUAGAUGGGUUGUUAAGUCAGUUGUGAAAGUUUGCGGCUCAACCGUAAAAUUGCAAUUGAUACUGGCAGUCUUGAGUACAGUUGAGGUAGGCGGAAUUCGUGGUGUAGCGGUGAAAUGCUUAGAUAUCACGAAGAACCCCGAUUGCGAAGGCAGCUUACUUAACUGUGACUGACAUUGAUGCUCGAAAGUGUGGGUAUCAAACAGGAUUAGAUACCCGGGUAGUC